rnacentral:rRNA from 1 species
AUACGUAGGGGGCAAGCGUUAUCCGGAUUUACUGGGUGUAAAGGGAGCGUAGACGGCAAAGUAAGUCUGAAGUGAAAGCCCCGGGCUCAACCCGGGAACUGCUUUGGAAACUAUUUAGCUAGAGUGCAGGAGAGGUAAGUGGAAUUCCUAGUGUAGCGGUGAAAUGCGUAGAUAUUAGGAGGAACACCGGCGGCGAAGGCGGCUUACUGGACUGUAACUGACGUUGAGGCUCGAAAGCGUGGGGAGCAAACAGGAUUAGAUACCCUGGUAGUCCACGCCGUAAACGAUGAUCACUAGGUGUUGGGAGGCAAAGCCUUUCGGUGCCGCAGCUAACGCAAUAAGUGAUCCACCUGGGGAGUACGUUCGCAAGAAUGAAACUUAAAGGAAUUGACGGGG